GAACAGGCCCAAGGUCGGCGGCGUGGCGCCCCAGGAAACAGAGAAGUGGCCCCUCCUCUGCCAUUCUCGCAGGGAUGCCGUGAAGACAAAAUGACUGAGAAGCAACCAUUUUCCUCUUAACUGCAAGAUGCUCUCCUGCAGUAGACGCGAUGGUCCCCGUGUUUACACUUGAGGAAAUUGAGGCUCAGAGGAGUCGUCUAACUUAC